CGCGCAGGCUGUAGAUCAAGUCAGCUGUGAAAUGUCUGGGCUUAACCCGGGCAUGCGGUUGAAACUGAUGCACUGGAGUGCUGUAGAGGCAAGUGGAAUUCCCAGUGUAGCGGUGAAAUGCGUAGAUAUUGGGAAGAACACCGGUGGCGAAGGCGACUUGCUGGGCAGCAACUGACGCUGAGGCGCGAAAGCCAGGGGAGCAAACG
rnacentral:rRNA from 1 species